rnacentral:lncRNA from 1 species
AAGGGUGAUGAUAAAUAGACACUCGGUCAGAACCGGAUUUUUUGCAUCUUUUUGGAAUGGUUCGGUUUUUGAGGGAUUUUUGUUUUUACUUUUUUAUCCUUUCACAAAUAUAUAUAUACUGAAUGUGAUUGUUUGUAUUUUCGAUUUUUUUGUUUCCUUAUUUUUCGUUUUUUUUUUGUUUCCUUAUUUUUCGGUUAUUUAGUUUUGAAAAUUAUAUAAAUCAUAUAUUUGAGGUUUAUAUGAUUAUUUAUUCCGAAAAUUGUUUGAUUUAUUUGUUUCAAAAUUUUAUUAUUGAUUUGUUACCAAUAAUUCAGGGUUUUU